rnacentral:rRNA from 1 species
ACGCUCGACACCUACGGGAGGCAGCAGUUGGGAAUAUUGGACAAUGGAGGAAACUCUGAUCCAGUGACGCCGCGUGAAGGAAGAAGGUCUUCGGAUUGUAAACUUAUUUUGUCAGGGAAGAAAAUGACUGUACCUGAAGAAAAAGCACCGGCUAACUACGUACCAGCAGCCGCGGUAAUCUGAGCGGGCUGGCAAGGC